CCACAUUGCAAUGACCUGACAUGCGUAUUUGACUUCUUUUUAUAGUAAAGUGUGGACAAUAAUAGGCAACAUGUGUGUGAUUAACCUGUUUUGUUCCAAAUCAACAGUGCUAUUUUUGGUUGUUUCUUUAACUUCCAGAAUACCUGUAAACUCGGGCAAUUUAUAGAAGACAGCAGGUGGAGCAGAGGAUGGCCCGGGGGAGGGUGUUACAUGAUGAGUAACACCCAUGAAGCGGCUAUGGAACGGAAGAGAGGUGAGUAUAUCUGU